GGGUCGUACCCAAAGCCUUGGUUGUUGAGCCGGGCCUUGUUGGGGACCCAAGAGGAGUACCAGCUGCUGUACUGGUCCUGAUGGGAGCAGCUGAUCUGGUUCGACGUCACCGAGCCGGACUCGAAGCCCAGAGCAUGGAAGCUAAAAAUCGCGUGACGUCACCUCACCCGGCAUGCAAGUCAGCGGUCGGCCUUGAGACGGCUCAGGCGGCGAGGUGGGCGUGGCAGUUUCGCGGAGGCCGGUGGGCGCCACGGCCUCGCAGUCGCACGUACACGCUUGCACGUUCCUGGCGGUCCACGUCUCCUGGAUCUGCUGAUCCUCCUCCUGCAGCUCCUCCUCCACCUGCAGGAUUUCCUCUUCCUGCGCCGACCAAAAACGGAAAACGGUUGGGAUUCAACUUUUAUAGUUUUGGAAGUCAGCAGGCGCCAGGGUACUUGCGGGUGGCGCAAAAGUGAUUGACUGAAGGUUUUUUUUUUUUUGCCACCCGGAAGUACGUGUGACGUGGUAGAAAAGUCUAAAAGACUCAAAGAGAUGUUUUUACCUCCUGAGAGUGAACAGCAGUCAGGGCUGUACCACAUCCAUGGAUGCAUGGAAUGUAAAAAGACAUUUAUAACUGUUUUAUAAACAAUAGUUAAACAUGUUUCAGUCUACAGUGGAACUGCCAAAAUCCAACGAACACGCAAAUGGAUCAGUUUGGAUGAUCUCAGGCUUUUCACCCCGAAGAUGAAGUAGAAGCCACUCAUCCUGUUCGAUUUCGGUCACGGGUCUUGAGACUUUUUCAUGCGCCCCUCUUAUGAUGGACAUUUUGAGGUGUUGGGACUUUAUUUUUAAAAAAAAUAAAUUUAGUCCUGGAUCUCACUCAAAACUGCUACAAACCAAAAUGGCUGACCUCCUGUUCAGUUUCGGGUAUAAUUCCAUGCGACUUUUUCACAUGCUCAGUUAUGCCAGACGUGUCCACCCAAAAUGAUGAACCGAAUAGUUUGUGUCGUCGCUUUCAGAGGUUCCACUGUGUAUUAUGCCUUAAUAAAAAUUACGAUUU